GUGUGUGUGUGUGUGUUGUGAAAGAGAGAGAGAGUGAGUUUGCGCAGCUAGAUCUCCAUCACCUCAGAUGACCUCCUCUCCUUCCUCCUCCCACACUUCCUGUUCCACCUCUUUCUCCUUUUACCCCUCCUCUUUGGCACCAGUACCUCUGCACCUCUUCCUCCUUUGAAUCCUUCCUCAGGAGUUUCCUUUCCUUCUCGCCUGUCCCCUCUGCUGUCCCUUUUUCUCCUUGCCCCUCCCCUCCCCUCCUCUUCCUCAGCCACUGGAGAAGGGUAUAUUGUGGCAUCCCUAGUUGCUCUGACUCUCAGCCAGUUGGAUCCGACUACCUGGACAACCCACAUCCUUUCCUCUUUUAUAGGCUUGCCUUGGAUUAAUUGACCACUUUAGGUAAACAUAAAUUGAGAUGUUGUUUCAGCAAAGCAACAACAUGGAAUUUGCUGAAGUGUUUUAUUAUUUUGUGGUAACACGUCUUGCCAUAACUGAGAAAAGAUUGUACCCGGUGUUUGUUUGUGUUUGCCUAGCGUGCGGGACUUGCCAGUGAAUCUGUCUUAUUGUAAGUGCUGUUGGAAUAAGAACUAAUAAACGGUCAUCAAAAGUG